rnacentral:rRNA from 1 species
CGUAGGUGGCAAGCGUUGUCCGGAUUUAUUGGGUUUAAAGGGUGCGUAGGCGGUCUAUUAAGUCAGUGCUGAAAUAUCCCGGCUUAACCGGGAGGGUGGCAUUGAUACUGAUGGACUUGAGUGCAGUCGAGGUAGGCGGAAUUGACGGUGUAGCGGUGAAAUGCUUAGAUAUCGUCAAGAACACCGAUAGUGUAGACAGCUUACUAGGCUGUAACUGACGCUGAGGCACGAAAGUGUGGGGAUCAAACAGGAUUAGAUACCCUGGUAGUCCACACUGUAAACGUUGAUGACUCGCUGUUUGCGAUAUACAGUAAGCGGCUUAGAGAAAUCGUUAAGUCAUCCACCUGGGGAGUACACCGGCAACGGUG